GGUAAAUCUUUUCAAGACACUAAAACAGGUGACUCAGUCCUGUGAGCUCUGUGCUGACAUGACCCAAAUGGCCAACAAUUUUCUCCUUCUCCAGUUAAACCUAACACUGAGGAACCUAUCCAGGUUAGAACUGGCAACUCUAAUUUACUCAGAUGCCUUUCUGCAGGAGAUUCAAAUAUUUGCUAAUGCUUACUGAUACCUUCACUGGUUAGAUCGAGGCAUUCGCCACCCAUCUGAAAAAUGUUUACCAGAAGAAAUAAUUCCUCAGUUUGGGUAAUCUAAAAGCCUGCAAAGUGGCAAUGGCCCAUCUUUCACAGUAGGCAUAUCCCAAUACCUAUCCUCAGCUUUAAGAAUCCAAUAUUACUUUCACUCUGCCUGGAGACUGCAGUCCUCUGGAAAGGUGAAAGGGCUAAUCCUACUGUAAAGAAGACUAGCUAAAUCAAAGGCCUGACUAUCUCUGACCCCCAUAGCUUACUGAGGGUUUGAACUGCUCCAAAGUUAAACUUAUAAUUAAGUCCUGUUGAGUUAACAUAUGGAAGGCCUUUCCUAACCACAGAUCUCCUAAUAGAUGAAAAGACUCAUCAAUUACAAAAAUAUGUCACCAAUCUAGGACAGGUGCAAAGGCACUCUGUGAAUAUGGAAACAAGAGUCUUCCCCUCCCCCAUGGGAGGAACAUUCAGUUUCAGCUCAGCUAGGGAUUUAGUCCUACUAAAGACAUGGGAGGAAGUUCUCCAGCUGACCAGCUUUCCCCAACGUGGAAAGGACAACAGCAAGGCCACCUGAGCUCUCCAACAGACGUUCAACUCCAAGGGAUUCAGAGUUCUGGGAGGUGAACUCUGAUGAACAUGCCAUCGACUCCGCAGGCACCUACCACGGGAUCAGUGACCUGCAGCUGGAGCGUAUCAACGUGUACUACAAUGAGGCCAGCGGUGAGACCCCAGUCCUUCCCCAACCACUCUCCUGGGAACGGCGACCCUCCCCUCGCUAAUGCUCUCCGGUCCCACUCAGGUGGCAGAUCAGCUGCAGACAAGAGCAGAGCUUUCAACUGAAAUUGUACGUAAGUGUAAUCAGGAUCCUGAAGCAUUUCUUCAAAUAAUUGUGUGAGGAAGUCAAACACAGCUGUUCCAGUGAAAUUUUCAAGACAAAACACAAUUAAAGCAAUGGCUACCAAGAGGUAAAAGUGGUCCAGUCUCAGCAAAAGGUGACUGGUCUAGAACAAAGCUCAUAGCAACAGUGUCUUAGGAUGCUCAAGGCGUUUUUCCUGCUGGCUUUCUAGAGGGCCAAAACAAACCAACAAAAACCCCAAUAACGCAUGCUAUUAUGGAGUAUUUUGAGAAAGUUAGCCAAAGCUUUAGAAGAAAAAUUUCCAGAAAAUUUCACCAGAGAAUUCUUCACCACAACAGUGUUCCUCAUCAUUCCUCUCACUUAAAAAAAGACAAUUUUGCCUGAGUUUCCAUGGAAAAUUAUUAAGCAUCCACCUCUUAGCCCUGAUUUGGCUCCUUCUAACUUCUUUUUCUUUUCAGAUUUUAAAAAACUUUAAAGGAUACCCAUUUUUCUUCUAUUAAUAAUGUAGAAAAGACUUUCUUGACAUGGUUAAAUUCCCAGGACCUUACUUUUUGUAGGGAUAGACUAAAGGCUGGUAUUAUUGCUUAUAAAAGUGUCUUGAACUUGAUGAAGCUUAUGUUGAGAAAUAAAGUUUAUAUAUUUUAUUUUUGUGUUUUACUUUCAUUUUUUCACAAACUUACUGAAGUCCUUUCAUAGACCC
rnacentral:lncRNA from 1 species